AUUCUCUCUGGAUCCCAUGGAU
rnacentral:miRNA from 1 species